rnacentral:rRNA from 1 species
GACGAACGCUGGCGGCGUGCUUAACACAUGCAAGUCGAGCGGAAAGGCUCCUUCGGGGGUACUCGAGCGGCGAACGGGUGAGUAACACGUGAGUAAUCUGCCCUUGGCUUUGGGAUAAGCCCCGGAAACGGGGUCUAAUACCGGAUACGACGCACUCUCGCAUGGGAUGUGUGUGGAAAGUUUUUCGGCCAGGGAUGUGCUCGCGGCCUAUCAGCUUGUUGGUGGGGUAAUGGCCUACCAAGGCUUCGACGGGUAGCCGGCCUGAGAGGGUGACCGGCCACACUGGGACUGAGACACGGCCCAGACUCCUACGGGAGGCAGCAGUGGUGAAUAUUGGACAAUGGGCGGAAGCCUGAUCCAGCAACGCCGCGUGAGGGAUGACGGCCUCGGUUGUAACCGUCUUUCAGUACCGACGAAGACGCCGACUGAUGGUGGUGACGGUAGGUACGAGAAGAAG